rnacentral:rRNA from 1 species
GACGAACGCUGGCGGCGUGCCAAUACAUGCAAGUCGAGCGGACCGAAGGGAGCUUGCUCCUUUAGGUUAGCGGCGGACGGGUGAGUAACACGUGGGCAACCUGCCCUGCAGACUGGGAUAACUUCGGGAAACCGGAGCUAAUACCGGAUAACACCGAAAACCGCAUGGUUUUCGGUUGAAAGGCGGCUUUUAGCUGUCACUGCAGGAUGGGCCCGCGGCGCAUUAGCUAGUUGGUGAGGUAACGGCUCACCAAGGCGACGAUGCGUAGCCGACCGGGGAGGGUGGCCGGCCACACUGGGAGUGAGGCACGGCCGAGACUCCUACGGGAGGCAGGAGUAGGGAAUCUUCCGCAAUGGACGAAGGUCUGACGGAGCAACGCCGCGUGAGCGAAGAAGGUCUUCGGAUCGUAAAGCUCUGUUGUCAGGGAAGAACAAGUACCGUUCGAAUAGGGCGGUACCUUGACGGUACCUGACGAGGAAGCCACGGCUAACUACGUGCCAGCCGCCGCGGUAA